rnacentral:rRNA from 1 species
AUAGCUGAUUGCACCAACAAAUGGUUGAUGCAAUAUUGACUCUGUCAAAUAAAAUUCUAGGUAGAAUUAUGAUAAUGACAUUGUCUGCCUAUAUGUCUUGACCAAAUUACGUGCCAGCAGUCGCGGUAAUACGUAGAAGACUAGUGUUAUUCAUCUUUAAUAGGUUUAAAGGGUACCUAGACGGUAAAUCAAGCCUUCACAGGGACUAAUUUACUAGAGUUACUUACGAGGGGGUAUUAAAGUACUGCAGGUGUAGAGAUGAAAUUCUGUCAUACCUCUUUUCAAAAGAAAAAUUAUGGCACAGGUAUAGGUGAAAGCAUCCCCUUAUGUGAUAACUGACGUUGAAGGACGAAGGCUUUGUGUCGCGAACAGGAUUAGAUACCCCAGUAGUCAAAGCAGAAAAUGAUGAAUGUCAUAGAUUAGAUAUAUAGUUUAUUCUAUAAAUGAAAAUGUAAGCAUUCCACCUCAAGAGUAAUUUGGCAACAUUGGAACUGAAAUCAUUAGACCGUUUCUGAAACCAGUAGUGAAGUAUGUUGUUUAAUUUGAUGAUCCGCAAAAAACCUUACCACAAUUUGAAUAUUUGUAUCUAUCUUUUUGUACGUAAAAAAAUAAAAAGGUAAUAUAUUUACAAGCGUUGCACGGCUGUCUUCAGUUAAUGUCGCGAGACUUUGGUUAGUUCCAUUUAAUUAACGUAAACCCUUACUUUAUUUUUAUAUGAAGUAGUUCCCCGCUAUAUUGGAUAUGAUAACAGGGACUAGGACAAGUCAUCAUGGCCUUAAUAUUGUGGGCUAUAGACGUGCCACAUAAACCUUACAAAAGGGUGUGAAAUUGCGAAAUUGAGCUAAUCCCCCAAAA